GACGAACGCUGGCGGCGUGCCUAAUACAUGCAAGUCGAACGCAGUGGGGACGGGUGAGUAACACGUGGGUAACCUCCCAUCAGAGGGGAUAACACUUGGAAACAGGUGCUAAACCGAUACUGAUGGAUGGACUCGCGGUGCAUUAGCUAGUUGGUGAGGUAACGGCUCACCAAGGCAACGAUGCAUAGCGGACCUGUGAGGGAGGGCGGCAGCACUGGGACUGAGACACGGCCAAGACUCCGACGGGAGGCAGCAGUAGGGAAUUUUCGGCAAUGGACGAGAGUCGGACCGGGCAACGCCGCGUGAGUGAAGAAGGUUUUCGGAUCGUAAAACUCUGUUGUUGGAGAAGCGGUAUCUAAACAGAGAGCCACGGCUAACUACGUGCCAGCAGCCGCGGUAAUCC
rnacentral:rRNA from 1 species